UACGUAGGGGGCAAGCGUUGUCCGGAUUUAUUGGGCGUAAAGAGCGUGUAGGCGGCCAGAUAGGUCCGUUGUGAAAACUCGAGGCUCAACCUCGAGACGCCGAUGGAAACCAUUUGGCUAGAGUCCGGAAGAGGAGAGUGGAAUUCCUGGUGUAGCGGUGAAAUGCGCAGAUAUCAGGAAGAACACCCGUGGCUAAGGCGGCUCUCUAGUACGGUACUGACGCUGAGGCGCGAAAGCGUGGGGAGCAAACAGG
rnacentral:rRNA from 1 species